rnacentral:lncRNA from 1 species
GAAUAUAUUUGACGUUAUAACGUUAUAUGACGUUAUGAGUCGGGAUGGAAUGGAUGAGAUGGGUCGGACGUGACUCAAUAAUGAGAUAUGGGAAGAUCAUCAAUUGUUUGAGAAUUAUUUAUAUUAUUAUUAUCCACUUUGAUCAUGUACGGCAGGAAACCUGAGCAUGAUUUUAAUCUACCGAGUUGAAGUUUAUGGUAAAAAAGAUAUGGAAAUGGCCAGAUAUGUCUGUUUUUGCUAUACCUUUAUUUAAGUCACUGUUAAAAAUAUCAGUUGUUAGAAUGUUAUGCAGAUUUUGGAGAUACUCUGGUCAGGCGGUUUAUCAAAGGAAUCGGCUCCCAUUUUAAAUUGAGUCAUAAAAAUGUUAAACUUUAAUGUCGGAAGUGGAAGCAAUUCAUAUUGAAAUCAAUAAAAUAAUAAAAUUCUUUUUUUUUUCAA